rnacentral:tRNA from 1 species
GGGCUCGUAGUCUAGUUUGGUCAGGACCCGAGCUUAAGAAGCUUGAAACCCCGGUUCAAAUCCGGGCGAGCCCA